rnacentral:rRNA from 1 species
GCCUGAUGCAGCGACGCCGCGUGAGGGAUGACGGCCUUCGGGUUGUAAACCUCUUUCAAUAGGGACGAAGCGCAAGUGACGGUACCUAUAGAAGAAGCACCGGCCAACUACGUGCCAGCAGCCGCGGUAAUACGUAGGGUGCGAGCGUUGUCCGGAAUUACUGGGCGUAAAGAGCUCGUAGGUGGUUUGUCGCGUUGUUCGUGAAAACUCACAGCUCAACUGUGGGCGUGCGGGCGAUACGGGCAGACUGGAGUACUGCAGGGGAGACUGGAAUUCCUGGUGUAGCGGUGGAAUGCGCAGAUAUCAGGAGGAACACCGGUGGCGAAGGCGGGUCUCUGGGCAGUAACUGACGCUGAGGAGCGAAAGCGUGGGGAGCGAACAGGAUUAGAUACCCUGGUAGUCCACGCCGUAAACGGUGGGUACUAGGUGUGGGUUUCCUUCCUUGGGAUCCGUGCCGUAGCUAACGCAUUAAGUACCCCGCCUGGGGAGUACGGCCGCAAGGCUAAAACUCAAAGAAAUUGACGGGGGCCCGCACAAGCGGCGGAGCAUGUGGAUUAAUUCGAUGCAACGCGAAGAACCUUACCUGGGUUUGACAUGCACAGGACGCCGGCAGAGAUGUCGGUUCCCUUGUGGCCUGU